GACGUAGGGAGCGAGCGUUGUCCGGAUUCAUUGGGCGUAAAGCGCGCGUAGGCGGCCUCGCAAGUCGGUUGUGAAAUCCCGGGGCUCAACCCCGGGACUGCGUCCGAUACUGCGAGGCUGGAGGUAGGUAGGGGAGAUCGGAAUUCCUGGUGUAGCGGUGAAAUGCGCAGAUAUCAGGAGGAACACCGGUGGCGAAGGCGGAUCUCUGGGCCUUACCUGACGCUGAGGCGCGAAAGCGUGGGGAGCGAACAGG
rnacentral:rRNA from 1 species